GACGAACGCUGGCGGCGUGCCUAAUACAUGCAAGUAGGACGCAGUUGCGAACGGGUGAGUAACGCGUAGGUAACUACCUAUUAGAGGGGGAUAACUAUUGGAAACGAUAGCUAAUACCGCAUACUAGUAGAUGGACCUGCGUUGUAUUAGCUAGUAGGUUGGGUAAUGGCCUAACUAGGCAACGAUACAUAGCCGACCUGAGAGGGUGGUCGGGCAAACUGGGGAUGGGACACGGGCCAGACUCCUACGGGAGGCAGCAGUAGGGAAUCUGUGGCAAAUGGGGGAACCCUGAACGAGGAAAGGCGCGUGAGUGAAGAAGGUUUUCGGGUCGUAAAGCUCUGUUGUUAAGGAAGCGGUACUUAACCAGAAAGGGACGGCUAACUACGUGCCAGCAGCCGCGGUAAUAC
rnacentral:rRNA from 1 species